AACUUAAAGGAAUUGGCGGGGGCCUGCACAAGCGGUGGAGCAUGUGGUUUAAUUCGAAGCAACGCGCAGAACCUUACCAGCGUUUGACAUGGUAGGACGGUUACCAGAGAUGGUUCCCUUCCCUUACGGGACCUACACACAGGUGCUGCAUGGCUGUCGUCAGCUUGUGUCGUGAGAUGUUGGGUCAAGUCCCGCAACGAGCGCAACCCUUGUCAUUAGUUGCUACGAAAGGGCACUCUAAUGAGACUGCCGGUGACAAACCGGAGGAAGGUGGGGACGACGUCAGGUCAUCAUGGCCCUUAUGGGUAGGGCUACACACGUCAUACAAUGGCCGGGACAGAGGGCUGCCAACCCGCGAGGGGGAGCUAAUCCCAGAAACUCGGUCGUAGUCCGGAUCGUAGUCUGCAACACGACUGCGUGAAGUCGGAAUCGCUAGUAAUCGCGGAUCAGCUUGCCGCGGUGAAUACGUUCCCGGGUCUUGUACACACCGCCCGU
rnacentral:rRNA from 1 species